rnacentral:rRNA from 1 species
UCUAUUUAUUAUGACAUAAGAUUUAUAUUUUAUUUAAAUUUUAGUAUAAAAGAACUAUUUAAUUUUAAUUAUUAAAUUGGUUAAUUAUAUUUUUAAUAAAUUUUUAUAGUACCUUUUGUAUCAGGGUAAAUUAAUUUAUUAAUUUAUAUUUUAUUCCCGAAAUAAAUUGAUCAAUUAAAAUUUUUAAUUUACUUGUAAAAUAAAGUAAUUUAAUUAUUUAAUUGUAGAUAUAUUCUAUUCGAUUUUUGUUAUAUCUGGUUUUUUAAGAUUAAAUUUAAUUUUGUAUUAAGUUAUUAAUAUUAUUUUAUAAAGGAUAAUCUUUAUAUUUUUGUAAAAUUUUAAUUAUUAUAAUUUUAUUAGUUUUUAAAUUUUAAAUUUAGUUAUUAAUAUAUUUUGUUAAUUUAAUAAUUAUUUAUUUUAAUUUAUUUUUUUAUUAAAUUAAUUUAUAUAACUUUUAUAUAAUUUAUAUUUUGAUUUUAUUAGUAAAAUUUUUAUUUAUUGAUUAAUGAAUUCGACAAAUUUAAUUUUCAACUGUUUAUCAAAAACAUUUUUUUUAGUUAAUUAUUGAAAGUACAAUCUGCCCUAUGAAUUUGAUUAAAUGGCUGCAGUAUUUUAACUGUACAAAGGUAGCAUAAUAAUUAGUCUUUUAAUUGAGGACUGGAAUGAAAGAUUUAAUGAGAAAUUAAUUUUAUUAUUAAUAAUUUUUAAAUUUUAUUUUUAGGUAAAAAAGCUUAAUUAAUUUAUUGGGACGAAAAGACCCUAUAGAACUUUAUUUAAUUAUUAUAAAUAUAAUUUAAUUAUUAAUUUAUUUUUAAAAAUUAAAAUUAGUUGGGGUGACUAAUAAAUUUAAUCUUUAUUUAUAAUAUUCAUUAAUUUAUGAUUUUUUUGAUUUAAUUAAUUACCUUAAGAUUAAGUUACCUUAGGGAUAACAGCGUAAUUUAUAUGGGGAGUUCAUAUCUAUAUAUAAGUUUGCGACCUCGAUGUUGAAUUAAGAUUAUAAAAGGAGGAAGCAUUUCUUUAAAUAAGUCUGUUCGACUUUUAAAUUCUUACAUGAUUUGAGUUCAAACCGGUGUGAGCCAGGUUGGUUUCUAUCUUAUAAAUAUUAUUUUAAUUUAGUACGAAAGGACCAAUUAAUUUAUUAUAAAUAUACUGAUUU